rnacentral:lncRNA from 1 species
GAACAACAGGUGGCUUGUGUCUCGGCGAGCGGGGCGGGCUGCCGCCGAGAAAGUAGGUGCUCGUUCGUCGUUUCGAUGUGCGUGUAUGGAAAUCCUGGAGGAGUACAGCGGAAACUCGUCUUGACAAGGGGAAAAAUAAGUGAAAGUUGUGAGGCAGCGCGCGCGCGCUUUGGGAAAGUUGUGAGGAGGCGGUGAGGUCCCGCGGCCUGGCAGGUGCUGGGGAGUUUCGCUGGCGAUUUCUUCCCGUAAUUAGUCUGGCUCACCUGCGUUAUGGCAAGGCCUAUGGCAGCCUCGGAUGAUGGGCACGAGUCAGUCCGCAUCGCCGGCUCAUCUCAUCACGCUCAUCUACGGCAAUAAAUCAAAGGAGACGAUAAUCUAUGGCCGGCAGCCCCUCGCAGAGCGCGGGCGGCAGGAGCGGCGGGCGAGGCAGUCAGCUGUGCUCGCCUGCCUCGCCAGUCCUGCCGCGGCGUGCUGAGGUGCGGCCGCUCUGUCUCUCGCCUGUGCGUGUGUCGCGCUGUCCCCGCCACGCCGUGUGUGUGUGUGUGAGUGCGUGCGUGAGUGUGAACAGGUGCGCUGCCUUAGUCUAAACACCGCUGAAUCAUUAGCCAGGACACGGCGCCGGUCAGUGUAUAGUUUCUUUACAAAAUCUUUUAGAAAGUUUUAAGCGUUGAUAUGACCCGUGUUGAGGGAGUUCCCAUACGUUUCGACGGCGCGGAGCCAGGAGGGUCAGCUAGGCCCGGGCUGCGGCGAGCGUGUGGCACCACAUCUGGGCAUCAGAGUGGGCACAGCAGUAAGGCACCGCAGUGACGUGUCAUUAAAAGCCUGUUCUUAGUGUGGCGCCAGUUUUUGUUCCUCGUGGCAUUAGUGCAAGUGCGUAAAGAGCUUCAAGCAGGUGUUGUCGAGUGCGGCCUCUGAUGUGCCCAGAAGUGGUCUCCUAUUGCGACCUUACAUCGAACUUGUGAACUUAGAUUAGCUCCUGUCUGCCUGCGGUUGUGCCUGUGGGUGCCGAGUAACAAAGCAGACGCGUGUUUGUUUGUUUUUUGUACACGACAAGCAGGCAACGGGCAGUUCUACGGUUGACCAUUCGCUGGGCAGACACCACUCUUGUUGGUGUCAGCGAACAAGCAGGCAAGAAAGCACAAGCAUCCACUACAAUGUCUUCAGCUGAUGGGGACGUGGAGGAAGGGCGUCGAAACCCACUGGGGUUCCGGCCGCGAGCGCCUAAAAUCGGCAAUCUUCCCAGGUAAGUGCAACGUCGGAAUGUGCAGUCAGCAAGCAGGUAGAUAAUGGAAGGGUAGAUGUCACAAAGAAGGCCCUUUAUUUUUACUCUCACUUAUUCCAUUAACAUUGUUAUCUUUAUCGUGAAGAUUAAAAAAAAAAAAAAAAAAUUCUGUUUAUCAAUCGGGCCAUCAUCGUCAUCGUCAUCGUCACCACCAAUCAUUACCAAUCACCAUCAAUCAUCACCAAUCACCACCAUCAUUUUGCCUUCGUUAUUUUCGGCUCAAUUAGGUGCUGUUUUUGUCAGGAGGGACCAAUAACACUUCUCUGUAGGGUUUAUAGAGAGGAGAGUUGAAGAAGCAGGUGGCGAGAGAAGAAAAGGUGGGGGACGAGGG